rnacentral:rRNA from 1 species
UACGUAGGGUGCAAGCGUUAAUCGGAAUUACUGGGCGUAAAGAGCGCGCAGGCGGUCGUUCAAGUCGAGUGUGAAAGCCCCCGGCUCAACUGGGGAGGGUCACUCGAUACUGAUCGACUCGAAGGCAGGAGAGGGAAGCGGAAUUCCCGGUGUAGUGGUGAAAUGCGUAGAUAUCGGGAGGAACACCAGUGGCGAAGGCGGCUUUCUGGCCUGCUCUUGACGCUGAGGCGCGAAAGCUAGGGUAGCAAACGGGG